rnacentral:tRNA from 1 species
GCCGGUUUAGCUCAAUUGGUAGAGCAACUGACUUGUAAUCAGUAGGUUGUCAGUUCAAGUCCGACAGCCGGCA